rnacentral:rRNA from 1 species
GUGAACGCUGGCGGUAGGCCUAACACAUGCACGUCGAACGGCAGCACAGUAAGAGCUUGCUCUUACGGGUGGCGAGUGGCGGACGGGUGAGGAAUACAUCGGAAUCUACUUUUUCGUGGGGGAUAACGUAGGGAAACUUACGCUAAUACCGCAUACGACCUACGGGUGAAAGCAGGGGAUCUUCGGACCUUGCGCGAUUGAAUGAGCCGAUGUCGGAUUAGCUAGUUGGCGGGGUAAAGGCCCACCAAGGCGACGAUCCGUAGCUGGCCUGAGAGGAUGAUCAGCCACACUGGAACUGAGACACGGUCCAGACUCCUACGGGAGGCAGCAGUGGGGAAUAUUGGACAAUGGGCGCAAGCCUGAUCCAGCCAUACCGCGUGGGUGAAGAAGGCCUUCGGGUUGUAAAGCCCUUUUGUUGGGAAAGAAAAGCAGCAGGUUAAUACCCCGCUGUUCUGACGGUACCCAAAGAAUAAGCACCGGCUAACUUCGUG